UACGUAGGGGGCAAGCGUUGUCCGGAUUUACUGGGCGUAAAGAGCGUGUAGGCGGCCAGGUAGGUCUGCUGUGAAAACUCGAGGCUUAACCUCGAGAUGUCGGCGGAAACCAUCUGGCUAGAGUCCGGAAGAGGAGAAUGGAAUUCCCGGUGUAGCGGUGAAAUGCGCAGAUAUCGGGAAGAACACCCGUGGCGAAGGCGGUUCUCUGGGACGGUACUGACGCUGAGACGCGAAAGCGUGGGGAGCGAACAGG
rnacentral:rRNA from 1 species